CUGUAAAAGGGAAACCCAAAUGAUGCCAAGUCAGUGAACUUUCCAUUUUCUUUCCCAGAGCACAGACAUGUCUGUUUUCAUCCCGCUUCAGCUGCUGUCUUCCACCACCCUCAUCAUCAUCUCAGCUACUCAAUGAACAUGGUGUUGGCCACCCUGUGCUAACGUUGAGAAACUAUUACUGAACAAGAAACCACUUUAUUCCGCACUGGUGAGACCAUACCUGGAGUACUUUGUCCCGUUUUGGAUGCCACACUUCAAGCAGGAUGCGGACAGUUUGGAAAGGGUCCAGUGCAGAGCAACAAAACAGUUAGGGGCCUGGGAGACAAGACUUAUGAGGAAAGGAUGAAGGAAACUAGGGUUAUUUGGAGAAGAGAAGAGAAGAGAAGAGAAGAGAAGAGAAGAGAAGAGAAGAGAAGACUGAGGAGGCAUUUGAUACCAGUCUUCAAAUACCUGAAGGACUAUUACAGAGAGGCUGGAGAUGAGCUUUUCUCUGUGGCUUAAGGGGAGCAAUGGCCUUAAGCUGCAACAAGGGAAAUUUAGAUAGGGGAUUAGGAGGAAUUUUCUGACUAUGAUGGUGGUCAAGCAUUGGAACAAACUACCUAGAGAAAUUGUGGACUCUCCAUCCUUGAAAGCUUUCAAGAGCAGGUUAGGCAGACUCUUGGCUGGAUUCAUUUAGUCAGGGAUGAUUCUGCCUUGAGCAGUGACCUGAAAUGAUUGACUGUGAAAGGUGUCUUCAUCCCUACUCUCCUCUGAUCGACUGUGAAAGGUGUCUUCAUCCCUACUCUCCUCUGAUCCAGAAUGAAAGAUUCUGUAGAAAAUGAGUAAAGUGUGGUUUCUGAUUCAAUAAACCUGAGACUAACUUGGACAUGUAGACCUUGAAGUUUUGGGCUUUGUUAAACUUAAUUUAGCACAAUAAUUAUAUUGUCCUUGGCACAAAUUUCAUAAAUGGUACAGAACAGGAAUAUUUCAAAAGCAGCUCUGACAUAAUAAAUUAUAUAGAUGAAGAGAAGAAAAAUGUAUUUGUAUGUCCACAAAACUCAAAUAGAAAACAUUUCAAUUAAAUUAGAGAUAGGAUAUUUUUGGUUUAUUUAACUCACAAGAGAAGACUCCUGGUGCCAGAUCAUUGGACAGUUUAUUUUCUGAACAUGACAUCAGCUUUGGGAAUAUGAGUUGAGGUAAAAAAAAAAAAAAAAAAAAAAAAAAAAAAAAAAGGAAGUAAUUUUGGAAGGCAGUCAAAACAGCACUUCUUAUUGACUGAAGUGCAUUAUAGCAAAACCACAAUAAAUAAAGAGGAAUGAUGUAACUGCACAGUAUUGCUCAUCUAGACCAUCUUUUCAACGUGCAAAAUAUUUAGAGCUGUACUUCUUUUCUGAGACAAUUUGUGUAAGAGAUUGAAUUAUGUCUCACAGAUUAGAAAUUGUUGAUAGCUUGUUAAUUCAAUCUUUUCUGCAAUUUCCAAAUCAGUCAGUGCAGGAGGUAGCAAACCUCCAGCAGGUUAUGGGACAAGUCUACCUGGAUGUAAAACUGAAAUAUCACCAUUGAUAGUACUGAUAACUCUAUUUAGGUCAUUUUACACCAGUUCAGGGGCUUCCUGGAUUAAGGUGCAAGUUUUGGGGUUGUUUUUUUUUAAUCUUUAUAUGUUGCUGACCCUCACCAUCCUAAGGGAAUCUGAAUACAAGUUUCUUUUUUGCAAAAUAGUCUGCUUUUCUCAUAUCUGGAAACUCCUGCUUCUUUUACGUUUGUACAAUGACCUAGCUAGAAAGCAAGCAUAAACACCUGAGCCAUGUGGAGCAGGUCUGAAAUAGAAGCGGGAUAUUCAUGAAUCUCUAUUUCCAAAGUGAUAUUUGUGGCUCACAUAAGAAAGCCAUGAGUGCUCCAGACUACACGUAUUAAGCAGAUAAGUGAAAAGGAAAAAUCAAGUAUGAUAAACAAUACCUCUGAAAAUUCUUAUUGCCAUAAAGCUAAACAAUAAGCAGAUUACUAGAGAAGUUCUCAAUUUAGCCAUAUACUUUUUAAUAAAGGGUAAACUAUCACAGAGAAGCAAGAGAAAAUGAACAUUGCACACAACCUGAUUUCUAGCCUCCACAAGUGGAUAUAUCAUUAUAGCUGCUCCAUCUUUUCCUCCCUUUUUGGACUUGCUGGGGAAAGGGACAAGGGCGGAAGAUCAUUAUGGAAUAGGACCUUUGAUAAUGCUAUGGGAUUACACAGACUGGUGUAAUCCUGUGAGUUAUGAGUAUUUGUUGUUUGAAUUGCAGUAUCAUCUCAUAAUCCUUAUUAGGACCAAGGCCCUGUUUUGUUAGGUAGUGCACAAAAAGGUGAUCCCUCUCUCAAUAAGUGGUAGCUUUACUGAGGGAACAACACGAGGCUCUUGCUGUACUCCUUAUUCUUGCUAUACUUGAAAGCAUCACAAGAGCUUCUUACUAAGAAAAAUGUUAAUUGAGACAGUUAACAACAGUGUGUGUUCUCAUGGGAUACCCACAGCUAAAUCCAGGAAUGGAAAUAUACAUUCCUUACUGCAUUACAGUGGUCAUGGCAUUCAUCAAAAAGUCCAUCAAACAUCUGAUAGCCUCUGAAAUAUGGAUAGGAGAGCACAGGUGAUGAUGAUUCCUCCCUUUUAACAGGCCAGUCAUUGGUUUCUUUUUUUCUGCUAAUUGUUUGUGUGCUACCCCUGGGAAUUUCUCUCCCCCUCUUACAACUGUUUUUUACCUUGCAGUGAUGCCUUUUACUACUGAGACCUGAUGAAGAAUGUCUUGCAUUUGAAAGUCUGUCUCAUUUCACUUAUACAUUGUUCCAAAGAUGUCACCCUAAGAAAUCCCUGUCUCUCGAUUAUAUUAGGCACCAACUUUACUAAUUCAGGUACUGUUAAGAGCUAUUAGAGGAGGCCAUUUAUAGUACAUAGCAAGUUGUAUUGGUCUAGGAACCAACAGAAUAUCUAGGAACAAGGGUUCAUAUUCUUGAACAACAUCUACUAGCAUAACUUUAACACUUCAAUGAUAGAUAUGACCCCUAUUUGUCAUAUUGUACACUGGCUGUUUUCUCUUCCUUUGUUACACCUUAGCUGUCUUCCAAGUGCAUAUUGAUUCUGUCACAGAUACCUUUAAAAUAAAAUGCAGGUUGCCAUUCAGUUUCCACAUAUAACCCGGUAUCAUCAUGUUUUUCCAAAUCAUUGUGUAUUGGAGAGAAAUAUAGUAAGCAAACAGUUAAUUGUUGGGCUUGCAGGAUAUCAUGGUACAUAAGCAAUUGUUCAUUGCUUUUUGGCAAUUUUUAUUGGUUUCCUAACUAUCCAAUAUUGCUUGCAAGUUGUUGAUGAUAAUGGAGGUUAACUGAACUUUAUGGUCUGUGAUGAAAAUAGCCCAGCUCUGAAUUUCAGAGCUCUUAUUUCCAGGCCUUUUUGGUCCCUUUGAGGCUGCCUUUUGAAAGGACAAGGAACCAUGCCAUCCCACAUCAAGUCCAUUUCUUUGAAGAAAAUUAUGUAGCUAGACCUCCUUAGCGAACUACUCAUAUGUAUAGCAAGAUUUCCUCCAAGAAAUAAGUUUCUUUAAUGGGAAGCUGUUUAAAUUUAAAUGGGUUGCACACCUCCUUGAGGCUUUCAGGGUGCAUAUUAUGCUAAAGUAAAGUAACUUGACAUUCCCUUUUGUGAAUAAAAUGCAUCAGAAAUACCUCCAACUGGCAUAACUUGGCCUCUCUGGCUGCGUCCAGAUGAGUGCAGAUAUGAUUUGAUAUGCACAUAUUAAAACUGAAGAUGAAGGAAAUCCCAGUUGGCCUGCAGAUAUUCAACAAACAGAGAGAAAUAUCACUAAGCUCCAAUCCACACCUUUAAAUCAGUCUAGGGUUUAGUCUUACUUCACCAUAUUUUGUUUCACCAUAUUGUACUAUAUGUUCCCCAACAGGACAGCCAGAUUAGAGUGCCUUACCAUGGAAAAGGUUUCUCUUAGUUCUGCUUUAGGACCAUUACACUACUGUUUUCAACAUAAGGGCAAGAGACACAUAAGGUCAUAUCUGCCUGGUUUAGAGAAAGCAGUUGUUGAAAAGCACUAAAUAUUAAUUUUGGCUUCAGGUUAGCCAUUGCCUUCUUUUCCCUUCAUUUUGCUUCAAUUGUCCAGGGAAGGGUUCAUGGUCACGCUAAAGUUCCUUGUCAGAAUAAUGUUAUUCUUCAACUAUACAGCAACUGCUUGCCUAAGCCCUUAGCUACAGCUCCAGAGGUUCUUCCUCCUACUUCUUAAAACUGAAAUAAAAACACAUAGUUCAGUUUCACUGCUGCAGGGCCUAUUGCACAAGUUCAUGUUCCUCCUGUAGCACUUGUUUAAAGAUCAGCUAGCCUUUUCCCAACUUUAUCUAAUAACUGAUAAGGACUUGUGCUGGUUCACCUGGAUUUGAAGGCCAUCUUCUUAUACAUUCAUCCCUACCUUAGAACGUUGUAUGGCCAUGAGGGAAAUUCUAUUAUUUAUCAUUUUGAUCAAUGCCAACAUACAGAUGAUCACCUAGCUUUUGAUAAAAGCAGCUUCUAUUCAAUUUUAAUGUGCAAACUUUAAAAAACUUUUCAGCAGUGAAAUAUCAAGUAAGCACCCAAGACAUUCUUGCAGUUCUAAGGAGGGGGACACAGCCAAUGGUCAACAUGACCUUGACUUCUAAGUCUUUUCUGAACCCAAUUAAUUUGCAACUCCACAGAGUCAAGUUUAAAAAGUCUUCUUUAAGGGAAAGGAGAAUGAUAUGCUUUUAAAUCCCUCCCCCUUGUCCUCCCCUUCCCCAAACACACAAAUUCAAAGACAAUAUAAUUUAACAAAGUCAGGGAGUCCCACUAUAGGAACUUACUUCAAAGUUAAAUAAAUCCCCAUACUGAAGGAUUACAAUAACUUUGAUGUUUCUGAAACAAUCUGGAUUUUCUUAUAACUUUUAAAAAAAAUCACAUACUAUUGUGGAGAAUCAUGAUCCUCUGUCAGUGAUCUUCCAAAAAUGUUGUUAUUGUAUCUGUAUUUCUGUUAUGCUAAUUAUAUAUUAACAGUGUAAUAGUUUAAACUUAAUUCUUGUAGUCACCACCAGACAAGUAAAAACAGCAUUUAAAAUGGAAA